UGAUCGCUCCGAGGCCCACUACGCGGGCGAGGCUGCGCUGCGGGGAAUUGCAGAGCGUGAGGACGCAGCAAAGGGAUGAUGACUCGCCGCUGCGACGGGAUCCAUCGGAUCUCAGCGGCUCCAGGCGGCGAGGCGCGUGUGCGGCGAUGCAGAGCCGCUGGCGAGGAGCAGAGAAAGUGCAGAGCAGUAGAGGAGCUCCCGGCGCAGCUUGAUGCCCAGCCAUGACAACUCUUUGAUAUCUUUGCUCUUUUAGGUCUCUGCAUGAGGAGUCUGGCAGCUGCAGCUCUUCUGCCCAAACAUCAGCGCAACAUCUAGGAUUAAAUAUGAGGGAGCCCGAACAGAGCACAAAUGCUAACUUGAUUAUGUUUGGAUCUGAUCGGACACGGCAAAGAUACACAAGUAAACAACGGCCAUCUGAUUUAUUUUCCAUGGUUGCAUGCACGUACAAAAAUUGUUAGGUCGAUCGACUCUAGCAUGUUGUCUUCACAUGUGUUAUUACAGGUGGAUUGAUCAGGUUGACAAACUUUGUAUGUGAAUAGUAAUUCCAGCAACAACAUCAUGUUAUUAGUAAGUAAACCAAGCAAGAUUUUUUAGGUUGCGCUGGGCAAAAAGUAUCCAGCAACUCAUCGGAUCAUCUCAGUGAAACUAAAUCUGAAUCCAGAGCUAAUACUUGCAUUAUUUUCUAUAGUCCAUGGUCCAUCAUGAUCAGAUGGAUCCAUGUUGCUGAUGCUCAUGGUGAUGGAUGGUAGUCAUGGAAUACUGAGAUUACAGCAUGCAUGGUUUGGUCUAGCCACCAAUGCAUGCUUGCCAAAUUGGUUGCCCACCAGGCACAGUGAGGACAAUUUGAUCCCUGUAGCAAUACGUACAUGGCAGCAAUUGUCCCAAUGUUCCAGGCAAAAUCUUGAGAUGUGUCAUGCAUAAGGGUUAAUCAAGGCGGUGUGAGACGACUGUGAGGGAAAGAUCAGCGUUGCAGCAACCACGGCAAGACGCCCACCAUGCAAAGCAGCAGCAUCAACCUCACUUUGCCAUGGAUGACAUGACGAUUACGAAAUAUCCAAUCAUCCCUGCUGCGUAAACCUGUUGGAAACAUGCACCUGCUCAUAUGUUUGAGGUAGUGCUUAAAGAAAAUAGCAACGCAAAUUGUAAUUUCUUUUCAUAUGAACAUUGAGAAAAGAUCAACACUAUGGUUGUUUCUUUGCAAAAAAGUUGAAAACGGGAUAUAA